AAAAAGGGCAUCUGCUUUGUCUGGCACAGUAGGGAAAGGGACUCUCUGACCUUACUGCGGAAUCGCAAUCAAGAGAUUUCGGAUGCAUAAUUUUUAAUAACCGGGACUGCUGAUGGUCGUUUACCUCGGCGUCCCA